GACGAACGCUGGCGGCGUGCUUAACACAUGCAAGUCGAACGGAAAGGCCCUGGUUUUGUGGGGUGCUCGAGUGGCGAACGGGUGAGUAACACGUGAGUAACCUGCCCUUGACUUUGGGAUAACUUCAGGAAACUGGGGCUAAUACCGGAUAGGAGCUCCUGCUGCAUGGUGGGGGUUGGAAAGUGUCGGCGGUUGGGGAUGGACUCGCGGCUUAUCAGCUUGUUGGUGGGGUAGUGGCUUACCAAGGCUUUGACGGGUAGCCGGCCUGAGAGGGUGACCGGCCACAUUGGGACUGAGAUACGGCCCAGACUCCUACGGGAGGCAGCAGUGGGGAAUAUUGCACAAUGGGCGGAAGCCUGAUGCAGUAACGCCGCGUGCGGGAUGACGGCCUUCGGGUUGUAAACCGCUUUCGCCUGUGACGAAGCGUGAGUGACGGUAAUGGGUAAAGAAGCACCGGCUAACACCGUGCCAGCAGCCGCGGUAA
rnacentral:rRNA from 1 species